UGAGGCUUGCAAAGGGUGCAGGCUCAAGGUCACAGGGCAGAUUCCUGGCAGACAGGGCUGGAGGCCAGACCCCCUCUUAACAGCAGUGCUCUGGCCGCUCACCCUGCAGGAAGCUGCCCCUGGCCACCGACCACAGCGAGUUUCUUUCCCAACGCUGCAUCCCAGAUGGGCCUCCCACCCCCCCACCCUCUGGAGCAGCUCGGGAACACAGCCUCAUUUUCUGGCUCUCUGAGCCAAGCAGAAUCAGGAAAACAAAGCGGUUGCUGGGAAAAGCCACAUACAGAGGAGCCCGCGGGGGACGCGCAGGACGGAGGCAGCCGACUCGCCAGAAAUGGUGGGGAGGCAGGAGGAGCUGUCAGCAAAAGGUGGAAGUAACUCAAAGGUCCAGAGAUGGAUGAACGGAUAAGAAAAGUGAUGUGUACAUACAACGGAAUAUUAUUCAGCCGUAAAGAAGAAGGGGAUCCUGACACAUGCCACACCAUGGAUAAACUCUGAAUACAAUAUAAGCAGAAUCAACCAGACACAAAAGGACAAACAUCAUGAUUCCACAUAGAUGAGGUUUCUAGAAUAAUCCAAAUCAUACAGAAAGUAGGAUGGUGAUUGUGAGGGGCUGGAAACAGGGUGGGGAAUGGUUGUCUAAUGGGUGUAGAGUUUCAGUCUAAGACACUUCAUUCAUCUCUGAAA